rnacentral:tRNA from 1 species
GGCAGGAUGGCCGAGUGGUCUAAGGCUCUGGUUUAAGACACCAGUCAUUUCGGGGGUGUGGGUUCGAGUCCCACUCCUGUCA